rnacentral:rRNA from 1 species
CGGUAAAACGCGCUGGAGGACCGAACCCACGUAAGUUGAAAAUUGCGGGGAUGAGUUGUGGGUAGCGGUGAAAUUCCAAACGAACUUGGAGAUAGCUGGUUCUCUCCGAAAUAGCUUUAGGGCUAGCCUCGCAAAGAGGAUGCUGGAGGUAGAGCUCUGUUUGGACUAGGGGCCCGUCAAGGGUUACUGAAUUCAGAUAAACUGCGAAUUCCAGACAUUUAUGUGCGGGAGUCAGACUGCGAGUGAUAAGAUCCGUAGUCGAAAGGGAAACAGCCCAGAUCACCAGUUAAGGUCCCAAAAUUCAUGCUAAGUGGAAAAGGAUGUGGAGUUGCGCAGACAACUAGGACGUUGGCUCAGAAGCAGCCAUCAUUCAAAGAGUGCGUAAUAGCUCACUAGUCGAGUGACGCCGCGCCGAAAAUUUACCGGGGCUAAGCAUGAUACCGAAACUGUGGAUGUGCGUUUAUGCACGUGGUAGGAGAGCGUUCUAGCGGCGGUGAAGCAUGACCGAGAGGACAUGUGGAGCUUCUAGAAGUGAGAAUGCCGGUAUGAGUAACGAAAGACAGGUGAGAAUCCUGUCCGCCGCAAGACUAAGGUUUCCUGGGGCAGGCUCGUCCGCCCAGGGUAAGUCGGGACCUAAGGCGAGGCCGAGAGGCGUAGUCGAUGGACAACAGGUUGAAAUUCCUGUACUGCACCGAAUCGUUAUGAGCGAUGGAGGGACGCAGGAGGCUAGCAGCGCGUGGUGCUGGAUACCACGUUCAAGCGUCAAGUCUGAGAGCGAGUCAAAUGCUUGCUCUCAUAAGGACAAGGCGUGAUGAGGAGCGAAAUUAAAGUAGCGAAGGCUGCGACGUCACACUGCCGAGAAAAGCUUCUAGCCAGAGACGGUGCACCCGUACCGCAAACCGACACAGGUAGUCGAGGAGAGUAUCCUCAGGUGAGCGAGAGAACUCUCGUUAAGGAACUCGGCAAAAUGGCCCCGUAACUUCGGGAGAAGGGGCGCUGGUCGCAAGAUCAGCCGCAGUGAAAAGGCCCAAGCAACUGUUUAUCAAAAACACAGGCAUCUGCAAAAUCGUAAGAUGAAGUAUAGGUGCUGACACCUGCCCGGUGCUGGAAGGUUAAGAGGAGAGCUUAGCGCAAGCGAAGGUUUGAAUUGAAGCCCCAGUAAACGGCGGCCGUAACUAUAACGGUCCUAAGGUAGCGAAAUUCCUUGUCGGGUAAGUUCCGACCUGCACGAAAGGUGUAAUGAUUUGGGCACUGUCUCAACGAGAGACUCGGUGAAAUUAUAAUACCCGUGAAGAUGCGGGUUACCCGCGACAGGACGGAAAGACCCCAUGGAGCUUUACUGCAGUUUAAUAUUGGGUAUCUGUCAAGCAUGUACAGGAUAGGUAGGAGCCGGAGAAGAUAGGACGCCAGUCUUAUC